UGAGGAAUAUUGGGCAAUGCCCGCAAGGGUGACCCAGCAACGCCGCGUGGAGGAUGAAUGUCGUAAGAUCGUAAACUCCUGUUAGAGGGGAAGAAUAGUACCGGUUGGACCGGUAUAUGACUGUACCCUCAGAGAAAGCCCCGGCUAACUACGUGCCAGCAGCCGCGGUAAUACGUAGGGGGCAAGCGUUGUCCGGAUUUACUGGGUGUAAAGGGCGCGCAGGCGGGAUAAAAAGUCAGUGGUGAAAUCCUACAGCUUAACUGUAGAACUGCCUUUGAUACUUUUAUUCUUGAGUUCGGGAGAGAGAGACGGAAUUCCAGGUGUAGUGGUGAAAUACGUAGAUAUCUGGAAGAACACCAGUUGCGAAGGCGGUCUCUUGGUCCGACACUGACGCUGAGGCGCGAAAGCGUGGGGAGCAAACA
rnacentral:rRNA from 1 species